rnacentral:rRNA from 1 species
UACGUAGGGGCCUAGCGUUGUCCGGAUUUAUUGGGCGUAAAGAGCUCGUAGGCGGUUUGGUAAGUUGGAUGUGAAAUCUCCAGGCUCAACUUGGAGGGGUCAUUCGAUACUGCCAUGACUAGAGUUCGGUAGGGGAGUGUGGAAUUCCUGGUGGAGCGGUGAAAUGCGCAGAUAUCAGGAGGAACACCGGUGGCGAAGGCGGGUCUCUGGGCCGAUAUUGACGCUGAGGAGCGAAAGCGUGGGGAGCGAACAGG